CCCUUAGACGUUCUGGGCCGCACGCGCGCUACACUGACCAGUGCAACAAGCAUCCGUCCUUGGCCGACAGGCUCGGGCAAUCUUUGAACGCUGGUCGUGAUGGGGAUAGACUUUUGCAAUUUUUGGUCUUCAACGAGGAAUUCCUAGUAAACGCAAGUCAUCAACUUGCAUUGAUUACGUCCCUGCCCUUUGUACACACCGCCCGUCGCUCCUACCGAUUGAAUGGUCCGGUGAAAAUUUCGGAUACCGGCAUUGCUGGCGGUUCGCCGCCGGCGACGCUGGUAGAAGAUCUUUAAACCUUAUCAUUUAGAGGAAGGAGAANUCGUANCA
rnacentral:rRNA from 1 species